rnacentral:rRNA from 1 species
AAAAAAUCAAAACCUUUAACAAUGGAUCUCUUGGUUCUCGUAUCGAUGAAGAACGCAGCAAAGCGCGAUAGAUAAUGUGAAUUGCAGACGUGAAUCAUUGAGUUUUUGAACGCACAUUGCACCUCUUUGGAGGUAUACUUGUGUGAGCGUCAUUUUUUCUCCACAUAUA